GAAUAUUCCUCGGGGUGGGGAGCGGGGUCUUUUUUAUACCUGCCCGCCUGUGUCAACGCCGCGUGGCCCCGCUUAAAGGUCCUGGGAGCCGCUGAAAUAUUAAUGACAGCGACAGGAAAACACACGCUUUUCCAAAAAUGUUGAUCUUAGCACAAGGCAGCUGCGUGUCAGCAAAGAAGCCUCAGCCUCGCGGGUGCCUUGUGCUCCAGCAGCGAUGACUUGAGAGCAGGCAGCGGCUCCCCGCAGGCCCCCCCUCCAGCCCGGCUCCGUUCUCCUCCACCAGCAGCUGAGCUCCCCGAGCUCUUGCGGAGGCUCUGGGCACGACGCGAGGUGUUGUCCCCGCUGGGACAGCUCCGGGUCACACCUGGGGCAGUGCCACCAGCAGAGCCCUGCAGCCCCACUGGGGCCACCGGUGCCACCUCCGCUGGUCCCCGUGCUUCAGGUUUAUGCAGAACCGGGUGUUUUUCUGCUGCUGGCAUCUGCAGGACUUGGGAGCUUUGGCCUGGAGGUGGAGGGGAAAGCUCGGCGGGCAGGAUUGGGACCUGAGUGUGUGCACGGCGCUGAGGCCACCGGGCGCCUCUGUCCCCCCAAAAACCUGGGUGCCCUCCCCGCUGCUCUGCUGGCUCACCGUCUUCUGUGCACCCACCUGCACCUUCCUGCCCCCCAGCACCCCCCGGGAAGGAUGUGGGGAGCCCCUCGGGGGUGACCCGAGGCAGCAGAGCCGGGCUGGGGGGCCCCCACCUCCCCAAAUCUCUGCCUCCCCAAACCUGCGGGAUGCGCACGGUGCCGGUGGGAGGGGAGGAAGGGGGGGGGGACGGGGGACGGGCCCGCGGCGGCGCGCACGCUGCCUUCAUCCCCCCCGUUCCUCCUCCUCCUCCUCCUCCUCUUCCUCCUCCUCCUCCUCCUCCUCCGGGAGCGCGCUCGCCCAGCCGGGAGCGAGCAGCCGGCGGGAGGAUGCUGCAAACGGCGGCGGAGCCGGGCGGCUGGGCAGGCAGCAGCGUUUCCUGAGGUGGGGACCGUGCCCUGGUGCCAGCAGCCUUUGGGGUGGCUCCCUUCUCCAGGGUUUGGACAAAAACCGGUGCCUCAUGUCAACAAACAGCUCCCUCUCCAAGGAGAGAAGCGCACAGAGGAGCUUAUCCAGCAGCUGCCAGCCCUGACCACAAACGGGAUGGAUCUGGCUCGUGCAUCGCGUCCCAGAGCUCCAGCGCUGAGCCCUUGCUGCUCCAGCUCAGCACCUCCAGGUGCUCCCAGCACCCAGCCACCCUGCACUCGCUGCCCACCCAGGAAGUUUUCCUGGGGGGUUUUCUGCCCCGGUGCUGCUCCAGCAGCCCCUGACCCACAUCUGAGCAGCAGCACGAGCCCAGCGUCGAGGGGGCUGGCGGGGGAGCACGAAAUCUGGUUGGAAUUAGGGCGCAUCACUGGGGAUCAGCCCAUGCACCGUGCUGGGGGGAGCCGGGGGUUCAAGUUCUGCACGCAAACGUCUCCCGGUGGCCCCCACCAAACGUCUUCCUUGGGGUUUCUGCAGAUGUGUGUAAUUGCUGGCCCCUGAGGUGGCGUAGAGCUUUGGCAUUUGGCUCCCUGCGUGGCUCUGCUUCAGUAUUUCCUGCGAGCCCAGGCGUUAAUUCACGGGUACGGACCUUCGGUGAGAACUCAGCCGUGUUAGCAGGAAAUAAUUGAAGGCUUCGUACCGCUGCCUCGCACAUCACCAGAACCAUCCCCUGCUCUCUCCUCAUUUAAUCUGCAAGUCGCAAAGAUGAAAAGAAAAAAGAGUGGUAGGAGCAGCAGCUAGGAAUUAAUGCUUAAAACUAAAAAGGGCAGAUCAGAGGCGUCACAACAGGUACGUGGGAUGGGACGUGCUGUCCUCUCCGGGAAGGAAUUUCAACCCCACGAGCAUCCUCCUAACCCCAAGCCUCUCCUUGCCUGGGCUGUCCCAUGCCCCGCUCGCCAGCCCAAGGAGAUUCGGCCGCACGCUUGCCAGCCCAGCUCGAGGUCUCAUCCCCCGCCAGGUUAUAAAUAACCCACGGAGGGGAAUUGAUUCUGGAGGACCUUUGCAGCUCCUCGUCCUGCCGAGCCUGCCAGAGGAGAUGCUGGUGAUGCUCCCCGUGCCACGACCUUGGGCUGCGCUCUUGGAAAACAAACCAGGAGCAGCCAAAGAGC
rnacentral:lncRNA from 1 species